AGUAGCAAGGAAGAACCAGGUUUGGGAUUUUACGUAUCACACUGAACAGAGGCUCCAGAAGCUGAGGUCCCUAGUUGGAGGCUCUUUGCAUAUUUUAUGGUCAGUCGAAUUUGAUGACCCUGAAGAAUACAUUAUUUUAUUUAUUACAGGUCUCAAACAAUAGGUUUUGAUUUUUGUCUUUUAAACGUACAAUGCUCAUUGCACGACAGAAUUAUUGUUAUUAGUAUUAUUAGCCUUGGAAUACUGUUAGGAAAUUUCUGCUACAAGCAUUCUGGGGAGAUACCACUAUUUGAGUUGGGCAUCUGGGAGAGAUAGACAAGCUCUUAUUAUAGCAUGGAGGAUGGGGAGAUUACCUGGCCAAGUAUCAUUUCAGGUUGUGGCAGAAAGAGAUUAGCUCCAAUUUAUCGCCGCUCACAUUUUCUUCCUUCCCCCAGUUUUCUGAGUGUCAUGGAAAUGAUAUUUGUGAAUCCCAGAGGCCUCUCACAGUGAUGUCAGCUUAGAGAUCCUCCCAGAUACAUCUAAAUGUGGACAUAAAAAUGUAAUGGGAAGAAAUUGAAAAAAUAUCUGUUUCUUGAUUCUUUAUUACUGUGGAGUUAAGAAAGCUAUUUCUCAUGCUGUUUCAUAAAUUUGAAUCCAAAUGUAUAUGUUAAUAUGUACUCGGAUGGCUUUUGGAUGAUUCACACAUGUAGAUUUUUUAUAUAGUCUCAAUUUUCUAGCAAUUUAUUGAUAUAUUAUUUACGCAAUGUGUAUGUGAAUACCUUCCACAUUCUCUGUUGUCAAAUUGGUCCUAAGUGAAUGAUGAUAAGUUAAAAUAGCUAUGUUUGUGAUUCAUACUUGGUAUUUGAACUCAGUAUUUGAUUUGGAAAAAUAUAAACAUGAGCAAAAUUAAUCUUUGGCUACAUACUUAAUUAAUGUUUUGUCUAAAUUAAAUUCAAGUCUGACAAAGACAAACGGAUUUUUUUCUUCCAGUUCUCAUACUAUCUGUGUGAUACAGAAACACAUGGGUAAAAUUCAGACUGAAAAAAAACAAGACUUUAAGCUUCAAAGAGAAUGUUUUAACUUCAUGGACGGUUUAAGGCAGGAAUGCUCAAGAGGGAAUGGUAGAAUUUAGACACAUGAUGUUAAUUUGUUUUCUCAUAUCACCAUUACCUUGAUUAGUUAGGGCUCAUCAAAUAAUUUUUGCCUGGGCUGUGUUUGGGUUUUGUUUGUGCCUGGUAUGCUCUUCUCAUUCAGAAAUGUGGUUCUGACCUGGUGCUGCUUAGUCCUUAGAGAGGAUCUGGCUGGAAGGUGUGAUUUCAGCUAAUGCAAAGGAAAUACUGUCUCUGUGGUUCACAUGGAUACAGUGAGCCCCCUCAUCUCACUCAAGUGAGUGUAAACUACUGGUCCAAGCCCUUUGAGUAACCUCAGGAUUAGACCCGAGGUUCAGAAGUAUUUCUAGAUCCUCUCUGCUGAAGCCAGGCAUCACAUUACUUGGUGCAUCUGAGGUGCCAUGAGAGUUUGGCAGUAGUGGUAGUAGUAGUAGCUCCCUGUGGUGGAUAAAGAGAUAUGGCUGGAGUCUCUUGUGGAAACCCUCAAAACAUCACAAAAUCCCGACAUCUCAGACAUCUCAGAGGCAGUUAGCAUCUUGUCUUCUAAAUGAUCAUCUGCCAGCAGGCAGGUUCUUUAAGCUAGAGGUUUUCAAACUGGAGAUUAUAGACGAAUCUUUUUGUGUGUUGUGGUCUUUAAAGAUGUCACCUGUGUUUAUCAAAAAUGCAGAUGCCCAUGUUUAGACC